UACGUAGGGGCCGAGCGUUGUCCGGAGUUAUUGGGCGUAAAGCGCGCGCAGGCGGCUUGGCGCGCCCGACGUGAAAGCCCCCGGCUUAACCGGGGAGAGUCGUCGGGGACGGCCGGGCUUGAGGGCGGGAGAGGGUGGUGGAAUUCCCGGUGUAGUGGUGAAAUGCGUAGAGAUCGGGAGGAACACCUGUGGCGAAGGCGGCCACCUGGGCCGACCCUGACGCUGAGGCGCGAAGGCGUGGGGGGCGAACAGG
rnacentral:rRNA from 1 species